rnacentral:rRNA from 1 species
UUGACAUACUAAGAACUUUCCAGAGAUGGAUUGGUGCCUUCGGGAACUUAGAUACAGGUGCUGCAUGGCUGUCGUCAGCUCGUGUCGUGAGAUGUUGGGUUAAGUCCCGNAACGAGCGCAACCCUUUUCCUUAUUUGCCAGCGGGUCAUGCCGGGAACUUUAAGGAUACUGCCAGUGACAAACUGGAGGAAGGCGGGGACGACGUCAAGUCAUCAUGGCCCUUACGGCCAGGGCUACACACGUGCUACAAUGGUCGGUACAAAGGGUUGCUACCUCGCGAGAGGAUGCUAAUCUCAAAAAGCCGAUCGUAGUCCGGAUCGCAGUCUGCAACUCGACUGCGUGAAGUCGGAAUCGCUAGUAAUCGCGGAUCAGAAUGCCGCGGUGAAUACGUUCCCGGGCCUUGUACACACCGCCCGUCACACCAUGGGAGUUUGUUGCACCAGAAGUAGGUAGUCUAACCGCAAGGAGGACGCUUACCACGGUGUGGCCGAUGACUGGGGUGAAGUCGUAACAAGGUAAGCGUAGAUGA